GGGGAAUCUUGCGCAAUGGGCGAAAGCCUGACGCAGCGACGCCGCGUGCGGGACGAAGGCCUUCGGGUCGUAAACCGCUUUCAGCAGGGACGAGGCGAAAGUGACGGUACCUGCAGAAGAAGCCCCGGCUAACUACGUGCCAGCAGCCGCGGUAAUACGUAGGGGGCAAGCGUUAUCCGGAUUCAUUGGGCGUAAAGCGCGCGUAGGCGGCUUGUUUGGUCGGGAGUUAAAACCGGGGGCUCAACCCCCGUCCGCUUCCGAUACCGGCAGGCUUGAGUCUGGUAGAGGAAGGUGGAAUUCCCAGUGUAGCGGUGGAAUGCGCAGAUAUUGGGAAGAACACCGGUGGCGAAGGCGACCUUCUGGGCCAUGACUGACGCUGAGGCGCGAAAGCUGGGGGAGCGAAC
rnacentral:rRNA from 1 species